AGCCGCCGCGGGAAUACGAAGGGUGCAAGCGUUAAUCGGAAUUACUGGGCGUAAAGCGUGCGUAGGCGGUGAGUUAAGUCUGCUGUGAAAUCCCCGGGCUCAACCUGGGAAUGGCAGUGGAUACUGGCUCGCUAGAGUGUGUCAGAGGAUGGUGGAAUUCCCGGUGUAGCGGUGAAAUGCGUAGAGAUCGGGAGGAACAUCAGUGGCGAAGGCGGCCAUCUGGGACAACACUGACGCUGAGGCACGAAAGCGUGGGGAGCAAACAGGAUUAGAUACCCCAGUAGUCCCUGUCUCUUAUACC
rnacentral:rRNA from 1 species